UCCGGUUUGUCACCGGCAGUCCCAUUAGAGUGCCCAACUCAAUGUAGCAACUAAUGAUAAGGGUUGCGCUCGUUGCUGGACUUAACCAAACACCUCACGGCACGAGCUGACGACAGCCAUGCAGCACCUGUGCACAGACCCCGAAAGGCUAUACCAUCUCUGGUAUAUUCCUGUGCAUGUCAAGCCUGGGUAAGGUUCUUCGCGUUGCAUCGAAUUAAACCACAUGCUCCACUGCUUGUGCGGGUCCCCGUCAAUUCUUUUGAGUUUCAGCCUUGCGACUGUACUCCCCAGGCGGUAUACUUAUCGCGUUAGCUACGGCACAACCAGGGUUGAGUCCGGUUACACCAAGUAUACAUCGUUUACGGCAAGGACUAC
rnacentral:misc_RNA from 1 species